GACGAACGCUGGCGGCGUGCUUAACACAUGCAAGUCGAACGGAAAGGCCCUGCGUUUGUGGGGUGCUCGAGUGGCGAACGGGUGAGUAACACGUGAGUAACCUGCCCUUGACUUUGGGAUAACUUCAGGAAACUGGGGCUAAUACCGGAUAGGAGCUCCUGCUGCAUGGUGGGGGGUGGAAAGUUUCGGCGGGUGGGGAUGGACUCGCGGCUUAUCAGCUUGUUGGUGGGGUAGUGGCUUACCAAGGCUUUGACGGGUAGCCGGCCUGGGAGGGUGACCGGCGACAUUGGGACUGAGAUACGGACCAGACUCCUACGGGAGGCAGCAGUGGGGAAUAUUGCACAAUGGGAGGACGCCUGAUGCAGCAACGCCGCGUGCGGGAUGACGGCCUUCGGGUUGUAAACCGCUUUCGCCUGUGACGAAGCGUGAGUGACGGUAAUGGGUAAAGAAGCACCGGCUAACUACGUG
rnacentral:rRNA from 1 species